AGAAGCUGAUGGUAUCAUUUGCGAUUGCUCGAAUUCUUGACUAAGAGUCAUCCAUUGUGGGAUUUAUUUCGGUAAUCGUAUUUUGUGCAUUUUGAAAAUCCAAGCCCUUUUUCGUUUUGAAGAAACUGGUAUUUUCCGUAUUUUUCUCGAUGGAAGCUUAUUUGAAUAUUCUACUGCUCUAAUUGCAUGUGGUGAUCUUUGGAAUUUUCGUCAAUCAGUUAUACUGGGAUGCAUUUGGUGAAAUUUGGUUGGAAUUCACUGAAAAAUUCCACUCAGUGGAAAAGAAGUCUCAUUGACUGCCUCCAAACAACUGGGGUGUUAGUAGAACGUCAUUGUGUCAUAACGUCUUGGUGAAGCACCACGUUUCUGCGUAGUCCUGUGAGAUUAUCGCUGAGUUAUCUACAAUUCUGGAGAUCGAUUUCAAGGGACAGCCAACUUGGAAUCGAGGAGAUUGGGGAAGUAUAAAGGAGUAGUUCCUGAGGGGAGAACCAUCAAGUUGAGAACAAUUGAGGAUUUUAACGCAAGUUCUGGACUGUUGAAAUAUCUGUUUUUAUGAAACUUGCCUAUUCCUAAUUAGUUUCUACUGAUGUACUAAUUGUGAAGAACUUUAUUACUACGCAGGUUCAAACUGCGAAGAGUUUCAGUUUUAUAGAGAUAAGAUUAUUUCAUUACCUUUGUCGGUUUACCAUUUACAAUUUAGGUUAUUUUCAUAUUUUAUAUUUACAAGUGAGGUUAUUUUCAUGCAAGGGUUAUAGAGAAAUUUGUCAUUAUCAGAUCAUUAGUAGGAUUACAAUCCUCAUUGUCUGACAACAUAUCGCCUAUAUAUACCGACGAUUAUUUCAUUUGUAAGGUA